rnacentral:lncRNA from 1 species
GAAGAUGUCUGAAGAUGUUAAAAGACUUUGGUUCACAUCUGCGCCAAGAAAAGGGCGCACAAACAUUUUUAGGUCUGCAGUUUUCAAAUAAACAAACAGUCUACGAAAGAUAAUGUAUGUGCGUGGUCUGCGCCGCGCAGACUGAAAAGGCCAAAAAGAUCUGCGGACAAAAAACAAACACUACCUUAAUGAUACCACCUUAAUGAUGACAUUCAAUUUAUACACACACCAGGACACACAAAAGUAGGGGUGAGCAAAAACCGCACCGCAACUAAAAUUAACCGCAAAAACCGCAACCGCAAUANCCGCAAUAAAAACCGAUAGUGAGGUUUUCUGUUUUUCAAAAACCGCAAAUUUGCGGUGCGGUGCGGUUAUUAGUUUCCAAAAACCGCAAAAAAACCGCACCGCACCGCAUAUAUUAUAUACAAUUUUUUUUUAUCAAUUAUUAGUUUAUUAAAUAUUAAAAAUAAGACAAGUUUCAUGAAUGAGAGACAAAUAAAAUAGUAGAAAACAAAAAUGUUGGUUUUUUUUAUGUUUAACUUUGAAAAUAAUGAAAUUAGAUAAUUUUAAGAUACUUAUUGUUAAUUACUAAUGAUUUGACGUUUUUAAGAUAUUAGUUGUUUGUGGUUUAAGUUAAAUAGUUAAUUGUCUUAUACCUUAUGUUUUUUUUUAUUAUUACAAGUAAUAUGUUUGAACUUUUAAAACUAUUUGAGCUCUAAACUAGGAUUAAAAACCACACAAAUUAAUCGCAACAAAUCCAUGCGGUUAAUAACCGCAACACAGAAAAAACAAAACCGCACCGCAAAAAUAACCGCCUAACCGCACCGCAAAAAUAACCGCACUAUACGGUUUUGAAAAUGGAUUAACCGCAUUUGCGGUUAGUGGUGAGGUUUUGGCUAAUAACCGCACCGAACUGCACCGCGCUCAACCCUACACAAAAGUGAGUAGACAACCGAUUAUUUGAUUAUUACAACUUUGAUUAUUACAACCGAUUAUAAUUAUUUUGUAUUAAAUAGUCACUUUCAGAACGCACAUCCAAAUAAUAUGUUUUAUAAACAAUUGAUAAUUUAUAUGGACAAGAUCAGUCUGCUUGUUUUACAAGCCCUUAAAGGUUUGGCAAUGGAGGAAUCUAAGCUGACAGUUUAUGAGAUAUUUAACUUUUAUUCAGUUAUAACGCAUUUGAUCUCUAUAAUUUUGACAAAAUAAAAUUUAUCUAGUUAUAUUAAAAAAGUUAAUUAUUGAUUUUAUACACUAAGUUAUCAACAUUCUAUAAGGGAAUCUCAAACCCAACACUAAACUAAUAGCAUUUUUUGCACCACUUUGCUUGAACCAACACCAUUUUUUGCAUCAUUUUGGGGUACAUGAUUAUUAAUAUACUAUUAAAUUUGAUGUUAUACCAUUUUUUGCAUCAUUUUUGUGUACAAGAUUAUUAAUAUAAAAUUAAAUUUGGUGUUACAUCAACUUUCAUAUGUCAAUAUUGGUGUAGUACAAAUUAUUGGUGUUAUGUGUUGCAAAUGUCUAAAGAAAGAAAGCUUAUAACCUAAAAUAAAAAGGUUAAUUACAUAAAGACCCUAUAUAUUUAUUGGGUUUUUUUUUACAGAUUAAACUUUAUUUUUUCCUGAAAAAUCCUUUACAUUGUUUCAUUUUUUCGGUAUGAUCUUUUACUUUUUAGUAUGUUUAUUGGUAAUCUUCUGGUUUUAUACAAAGAUGUAAAGGUUAUUUUUUAGAAAAAAAAAAUAAGUUAAUGUUUAAUCCAAAAAACAUUGGUAAUCUUCUGGUUUUAUACAAAGAUGUAAAGGUUAUUUUUUAGAAAAAAAAAAAAUAAAGUUAAUGUUUAAUCCAAAAAAAUGAAAAGAUGUAAGGGCUAAAUCAAAAAAAUGGAAAAACAUAAGGACCAAGUUAGAAGGCUUUUUCGAAAAAAAAAAAAAAAAAAAAAAAAAAACGAAGUUGAAUUUUUAGAAGGCUUUUUAUUGAAAGUCCUGGAUUUUGUUCCUUCUUUCAAAUUUAAAGUUUUUCGUCCCUUAAAAAAUAUUUUCCUUUUCGUCCCUUGAAUUAAAACUGUCAGUUUUUUUCCUACCUAAUAUAAAAAUGAACAUUAAUAACUAAUUUCAUACUUCAUAAAGAUACAACAUUGUUUGGAGAAGUAAUCAUUAAAAUAUAAAACUUGUAUGCCAUAUUUUAUUUCCAAUUUUCAGUGGUUAUAGUGUUAUACAGUUUGGAUAGUGUUGCUAUGUUGCUUGAGGUAGAAUUCGAGUGGAUAUUACCAAGUACAUACUUUUGUCCCACCCAAAAAGAUGGGAUAAAGACUUGUUUUUGUCAAAAGGUGUUAAUGCCCUCAUCUUCACUUUCAAAAAUAAACUUAGAAUCAUGUAUCGUGUAAGUUGUAACAAACAUCAAAAAUAACAACAAAAAGUUAUGUUUGUUACAUAGGACAUGAUUAAAUAAAUGAGUGUAUCAGUAAAAGAUUGCUUUAAUGUUGUGGAUAGGGCAUGGAAGGAGAAAAUAUCAAAGGGAACUUGAAUACAACAUGUUGUAGUGUGUUGAACACCCCAACUUUAUUAUAAUUAACUUUUUUUUAAGUAGUAGUUACAAAAAGGAUUAAAAAGUCAAUGUCCGUAUGUACAUAAAUGUUAAACAAAAAAUUAACACAAACUAUUUUUUAGUAUAUGAUUAUUGAAAUUCAAAUUGCAAACCCCAUCGACAAAAUUACAUACCAAACCAACGGAGACACGAAAUUGAAUUAUUCGAGUUCAAAUGCCAAUUUCUUUGAUUGAAUUUCUUCGAUUUAAAAUUGUUUGACAAAAUUCCGGCGUAAUAGAAGCAAAUAAAAUCAUCAGUGAUUUAGUGAUCAGAAAUAAUACAAUAAAAUCAAAUAAGAUAAUUAAAAAAAGAUCAAAAAACAGUCUUGACAUAAAACAGUUAAAGUCGAGGAAAAAAGCGAUAAAAAAAAAAAAAAAAAAAAAANGGGAAAAAAAAAGAAAAAAAAAAAAAAAAAAAAAAAAAACGAAUUAAAAAAUGCAACAAAAAAAACGAAUUAAUAAAAUUAUACGCAGUGAAUCAACGACCUUUUUCACAAAGUUUGAAGUGUGUGUAUGUCUAAGAAGAAUAUACGAGGCUCAGAUCUGUUUUACCUUCGGAACAAGAAGAUUAAACCGCCAUGGCUGCAAAUACAGAGGUUGCAUUCUCACAAUCGCCGUCCUCCGAUUAUAUGCCCUGCCAAGCUGCGGAUAAUCUCAAAUCAUGUCCCGAUUUUGAAUCAGAUCACGUUUAAUCAUCAUAGCCUCAUAUUUGUGGACAAUAAUUUUGGACGGAAGGAGUAUAAUAUGAAGAAAAGAUAGGAGGAUAUUUAAUUUCUCUAUAUCUAUAUAUAUAUAUAUCAGCAAAAGCUGUACCAGAGGGUUGUUGGAGCUUUAAAGAAUGACAAUGGAAAUCAUCGGCGUCGAGAGGCGGCAACCGCCCUUGGAAACCCUUCUUCCUCUCACAGCCUCAUUCUUUGAGCCGUAAAACAGAAAUCCCUAGCUUUCAUCCGGUUACUAUAUAGUCUAUAAAGUUAUAUUAAGGCCAUCGAUUUGGGUUACCAAUUGGAUCUUUGGAUCUACUUUAAUUUGUCAUUUAU